AUUGAACGCUGGCGGCAUGCUUUACACAUGCAAGUCGAACGGUAACAGGCCGCAAGGUGCUGACGAGUGGCGAACGGGUGAGUAAUGCAUCGGAACGUGCCCAGUCGUGGGGGAUAACGCAGCGAAAGCUGCGCUAAUACCGCAUACGAUCUAUGGAUGAAAGCGGGGGACCGUAAGGCCUCGCGCGAUUGGAGCGGCCGAUGUCAGAUUAGGUAGUUGGUGGGGUAAAGGCUCACCAAGCCGACGAUCUGUAGCUGGUCUGAGAGGACGACCAGCCACACUGGGACUGAGACACGGCCCAGACUCCUACGGGAGGCAGCAGUGGGGAAUUUUGGACAAUGGGGGCAACCCUGAUCCAGCAAUGCCGCGUGCAGGAAGAAGGCCUUCGGGUUGUAAACUGCUUUUGUACGGAACGAAACGGCUCUGGUUAAUACCCGGGGCUAAUGACGGUACCGUAAGAAUAAGCACCGGCUAACUACGUGCCAGCCGCCGCGGUAA
rnacentral:rRNA from 1 species